rnacentral:tRNA from 1 species
GGAUAGAGCAACGGCCUUCUAAGCCGUAGGUCGUGGGUUCGAAUCCCGCCUGAAUCACAA